GACCAGACUCCUACGGGAGGCAGCAGUGGGGAAUAUUGGGCAAUGGGCGCAAGCCUGACCCAGCAACGCCGCGUGAAGGAAGAAGGCUUUCGGGUUGUAAACUUCUUUUAAGAGGGACGAAACAAAUGACGGUACCUCUUGAAUAAGCCACGGCUAACUACGUGCCAGCAGCCGCGGUAAUACGUAGGUGGCAAGCGUUAUCCGGAUUUACUGGGUGUAAAGGGAGCGUAGACGGCAUGGCAAGCCAGAUGUGAAAUACCGGGGCUCAACCCCGGGACUGCAUUUGGAACUGUUAAGCUGGAGUGUCGGAGAGGCAGGCGGAAUUCCUAGUGUAGCGGUGAAAUGCGUAGAUAUUAGGAGGAACACCAGUGGCGAAGGCGGCCUGCUGGACGAUAACUGACGUUGAGGCUCGAAAGCGUGGAGAGCAAACAGGAUUAGAUACCCGGGUA
rnacentral:rRNA from 1 species